rnacentral:rRNA from 1 species
AGCCGCGGUAAUUCCAGCUCCAAUAGCGUAUAUUAAAGUUGUUGCAGUUAAAAAGCUCGUAGUUGAAUUUCGGGGUCAGUAGGUUGGUCGUGCCACCGGUACGUACUGGUCUCACUGAUUCCUCCUUCCUGAUGAGCUGUAAUGCCAUUAAUUUGGUGUUGCAGGGAAUCUGGACUGUUACUUUGAAAAAAUUAGAGUGUUUAAAGCAGGCUAACGCUUGAAUACAUUAGCAUGGAAUAAUGAAAUAGGACGUUCGAUCCUAUUUUGUUGGUUUCUAGGAUUGACGUAAUGAUUAAUAGGGAUAGUUGGGGGCAUUAGUAUUCAAUUGUCAGAGGUGAAAUUCUUGGAUUUAUUGAAGACUAACUACUGCGAAAGCAUUUGCCAAGGAUGUUUUCAUUAAUCAAGAACGAAAGUUAGGGGAUCGAAGACGAUCAGAUACCGUCGUAGUCUUAACCAUAAACUAUGCCGACUAGGGAUCGGAUGAUGUUAAUUUUUUAAUGACUCAUUCGGCGCCUUACG